UGGGGUUUAGCUCAGAUGGGAGAGCGCCUGCUUUGCACGCAGGAGGUCAUCGGUUCGAUCCCGUUAACCUCCA
rnacentral:tRNA from 1 species